ACCGGCAUUGGGCGUCCUGCCAUCUGCUUUCUCUCUUCUGGUUCUGUCUCUUAGUGUAUUUAUUUCUCAGGCCUGCCUCAUAUCCUAGCAGGAGACUGAAACUUAACUGCAAGGGUCUACAGUACCACUUCUCUCUGCAAAAACAAACACAACAUAAAUCCAAUGAAACCUCUAGGUGCAAAAAUUUUAAACCUCUGCCCCGCCCCCGCCUAACAAGUGGGAAGAGACCCAGCAUUCAGAGCACAGGCCAAGUGCUGGCUGCACGGGAGUCACCUGGUCGUCGUGAAGAGGCUGAGAGUGGAGCAAGCAAUCCAGAGCCCGGGGCCGCCUAGGCAGGGCGCCCGCCUCUCUCUCUGCAAACCUCAGCGGCUCAGUUAUUACCCGUCCUAGCCAUCCCUUCCCAGGUGCCUGGGCAGGAAGGACAGCCGCCUCCACUGCCAGCUCAGGACCAGAGCUGGAUGAAAGAUCCGGUUGGCCCUCAGGGUUUAUCCCGGGUGCAGAAGAGCCCAGCUCCUUUGGCCCAGCAUGACCCAGGUGCCAAACCACCCCUGCGGCUCCACCUCCUGCCACCUCCUGCUUUCCAUGGCAGCCUCUGUUUCUCCACGUUGAGCUCCCUGUCGGCUUUGAGCCUGCUCUCUCCUUCCCCGUUCUUGGAAGCUGUUUCCUUGCCUGACAGUCCCCACAUGUUCUUAGUCACAUCCUCAUGCCCCGCCCACGGCUUCGAUGAAAAUCAAAGGCCCCGGAUUGGUCUCAAAGACGGCUGGCUGAUGCCCGACCACCCUCAUCUCCGGCACAGAGGACCCUGUUGACUGUCUAGCCACCAGCGUGGGGCUGCAGCCUCAUUGCCCGAGUCUGGCCCAGCACCAACCCCAAUCACCCCUCGUUGAGGAGAGAGGUGGCCUCAGAGGAGAGGAACGUCACUUUCGGGAACCCAGAGGUCAGCACACAGCCCCUGGACCAAGAGUUGGCCAGCCACAAGUGGGUCCUGCAGCGUCGGGACCCACACACUCCCGACUGCAUGGCUCGGGCGGCGUGGGGAUGCACUCCCUGUCAGGCUGCAGAUGGCAACGUGGGGUAUGUGCCAAAGUGGCUGGUGGGGUCCCUCCCUUCCCACACAGUGUGGUCUGGUCUCCCACAGCUCCUGUGCCCAACCCCUCAUCAGGGGUGGACGUGAGGUGCGGCCAGCGUCACUGGUGUGUGCACUGCCGUGUCUGCCUGAGCCAGAGGAAGGUCCCAGACAUGGGGAGAUGGGAGCCAGCCUAUGGGCUCUCCUGACCCAGGGGUGAUGAGGAGGAAAACUAGAGACGCAGGACCAGGUUGAAACCUAGGGCGUCAGGGGCUCAUGUCUCCCUUCCACAGGGAGCUGAGUAGGGGGCACCUCAGCUUUAUUCACUCAGACACAGCAAUUAGAGUUGCGCAGCAUUAGAGUCAUCUGUCUGCCUCCCUCCAUGGCACCUGUCCGGGAAACAGCAGGAUCUCAGGUGUUCUUACUUCUCCCUGCAGCGUGUCAGCAUGCUUUCAUGCCCUCUCUUCUCAGGGCUCACCAAGGCGGGCAUUAGGCCUCAGUCUUCCCAGCCGGUCGCCCCCAGUGGGGCCCUUCAACCUCCCACACCAUGAGCUGUCCCACAGCCCACAGCCAUCAGAUCCCCAUGCCGCAGACCCUGGCUGGAACCAGCCAGAGCCGCAUCCCCCAACACACAGCCGAGUUCAGGGGAACCUGUGCUGCGGAGGCACCGUGUGAAAGCCAGAGACCCCUGGGCCACAGAUGGGCAGAUCCAGUGUGAGCGCACAAGCAGCAGGGCAAGUGAAGCAACACCAAGACUCCAAACGAAGGCAGUGUGUCCCUCAGUACUGGUCCCAGAGAUGACAGAGAGCUCGGGGAGCGUCCCAGGGCUCUCGGAAUGAGGAGCUCAGGAAGACAAAUACAAAGUGCAGCUCAGACCCUCAGCAACAGACUGCAAAACCAGAGGGAAGGGUAUCUGCACUUCAGUGUGAGUCUUUUGAAAUAUUCCGCUUGGAAGGAACGGACGGAGGGGAGAGAAAAGGAAGAAAGACAGACAAAGAGAAAGAAACAAAGAUGCACAACCUUAGAGACUUUGGGGACACCAUUAAAUGCAAACAAGUCACAUUUUUGAGUGCCUCAAAGAGAAAAAAAGGAAUAGAAAAAUCUAUUCAGUAAGAUAUUUGAAAACUUCCUUUCCUGGGGGAAAAGAUGGAUAUCCAGAGGUAGGAGGGCUCUGGGACCCAAACAGAUGUGCUGGGAAUGGGCCUCACCCCAACGUAAACCAUCAAAACCAUAAGAGAAGGAGGAUCCCACAAACAAAAGGAGAAGGACACCAAGUCAUACUUCAGGAAGUGCCAUUAGACCAACAGCAGUUUUCUCAACAGAAACCUUAUAAGCCAGGAGAGAAUGGAGAGACAGAUUUUAAAUCCCAAAGAAAAUAACAGUCAGCCAAGAGUAUGUACCCAUGAAGGCUCUCCUUCAGAAAUGAAGCCCAAAGGAAGACUUCUCAAGCUAAGCAAGCAGAGGGAAUUCCUCACAGCCAAGUCAGACUCUUGAGGGGCCCUGCACCCUGAAGCCCAAGAACAGGGACCGCCAUCAGGAGAACAUGCCACUAGGGGCACAGACGGGCAGCGGGAGUGAAGGGGAAGCUGCCCCAUCUCAGAGAAGAUGCGGAGGAAGUAAAGCUCAAACAGGAAAUUGGACACAGUGAUGACAGCGAGCCCUCAUCUCCCCAUAACACCUCAGAGGCAGGCAGACAAAGUCCAUCAGCGACAGCACAGACUGGCUAAGCCCAGGCCGGCUGCCUGCCAGGGACUCGCCUCACCGUGAGGAUGCCACAGACCCAAGGGAACAGAUGCUGAAGGUGAGCCUUGGAAGUGGGCCCCACACAAGCAAGAGCAGCCGUUCAUUCCUGCAUCCAAUGGAAGAAAGACAGAGGCUGCAGGGCUGGUGAUGAUGAAAGGGCAGCAGGGCACCCACAUGCCGUGUGCACUUAAGGAGGGACAAAAGCCUACAAAGACACAAAGGAGAUCAUUACAUAACUAUCAAGGUCAAUUCAACAAAAUAACCAUCGUAAGUGUACACGCACCCAUUGCCAGAGCGCCCCAUUUCAUAAACCAACACUUAAAUCUAAAUGGGAGGCAGAACCAAAGAUGCUCCCUGCACCCUCACCACCCCGCCGGUCAUCUGGACAGGACACUGGCAUGGGGACAGCAGAUCCCGGGGAAGUGACGCUGACUGGAGACUCCCUCCCACUUCUGGAGAACUGGUGAGGCAUCCUCCAGAACCUUAGCCACCAGCAAGUGUCCAGCAAUAAUCCUCCGCGUUAGCCACCAGCAAGUCUGAACAAACUUUUUAAGAACCCAAAUCAUAUCGUGUAUCUUCUUUUCCACAGUGAAAUAAAACUAGAAGUUAACAACAACAGCCAGAGAAGAACAGAAAGGGGAUGAAGAAAAGGAGUAAGAUAUGCUCUGUGCAUGUCCCAACUCCACACAAGGAAUGCAAACAUUACAGACUACAAACGUGAACUAAUAAAAACUAACAAAGGAAACUACAAACUCAGGAAGACUUAACAUGCUACUGAAUGAACAAACUGAAUCAUGGAACAAAAAAGUCAGUUUAAAAAAAUGCAUGCAACAAAUGAAUAUAUAAACAAAACAUACUAAAACUUACGUGAUACAGCAAAAAAAAAAAGCAUCUCCCUAAGAAGGAAAUUUAUAACAAUAAACAUCUAGUGUGAAAAUACAGAACAGUGCAUCUCAAAGAUAUAUAAAUACCACACCCCAAAUUAGAUGGAAAGAAAUAAUAAAGAUCAGAAAAGGAAAAAAAUAAAAUAUACGGUAUUUGUCAUACUGUCUCUUUCUUCAUCACUAAUGUUAUUCACUUGGGGGUCUUCUGCCUUUUUUCUUGCCUACUCUAGCUAAAGGUUUGUCAAUUUAGUAAUCUUUUCAAAAGAGCAAUUCUUUGUUUCUUGGUCAUUUGUACUGUUUCUAGCCUCUUGCGAAUAUCGGUCUGUAAUUUUCAUGUUGUGCUCAUAGCUGGGUUUGGUAAAACAAUAAUGUGGGCCUUGAAUAAUGACUUUAGAAGGGUUUUGUCCCUUGCAAUAUUUUGGAAUAAUUGAGAAUUCCUCUCAGUAGCUCUGAUGAGUAUAGAUGUGGAAAUUCUCAAUAAAAUCAAAUUGAAUGCAAUAGCACAUCAAAAAGAUGAUUUACCAUGAUCAAGUAGAUUUAUCCUAGGAGUACAAGGGUGAUUCAAGAUAGGGGAAGCAAUAAAUGUAAUAUAUCACAUCAACAGAUUGGAUGAUGAAACCAAAUGAUCAUCUCAAUAGAUGUGGGAAAAGUUUGUGAAAAAACUAAACCUCCCUUUGUGACAAAAAUCCAGAACAAAGUAGGUUUCCAGCACACCUUGUUACUUGCUAUUGUUAACUGGUUCUGGAGGUGGG
ensembl:lncRNA